rnacentral:lncRNA from 1 species
CUAUAUAACUGGAGCUAGCAAAGAGCAGUUGGAGAAAUCACCAUUCCUUGAGAGGCUAACAAAGAAAAAUUAUGAGGUAUGAGUCUUUCUUAAGAUAGAAAGGGAAGAUUGGAAUGCUGCAUAACAAAAUAACUAGUGGUUUUUUUAUUUUGACGAAAAGUAUUAGUCAUCGUUUCUUGCAUUGUGGGUUUGACUAUGUUCCUUGUCUUUGAUAUUUGAAUUCUCUUAUGAAUGCAUUUGUCAUGUCUUCUCUAAAGAUUCAUUUGCUAUGUUUGCCAUGUUUCAUUGUUUAGGUGAUUUUCUUCACGGACCCCGUAGAUGAAUACCUGAUGCAGUACCUUAUGGACUAUGAAGACAAUAAGUUCCAAAAUGUGUCCAAAGAGGGCCUGAAACUGGGCAAGGAUUCAAAAGCCAAAGAGCUCAAGGAGUCAUUUAAGGAGCUAACCAAAUGGUGGAAGGGUGCUCUUGCUAGUGACAAUGUAGACGAUGUCAAGAUUAGUAACCGUUUGGCCGACACCCCUUGUGUAGUUGUGACAUCGAAAUAUGGUUGGAGUGCCAAUAUGGAAAGAAUCAUGCAGUCACAAACUCUGUCAGAUGCAAACAAGCAGGCGUAUAUGCGGGGGAAAAGGGUGCUUGAGAUCAACCCUAGGCACCCAAUUAUCAAGGAGCUUCGGGAUAGAGUAAUCAAGGACCCUGAGGUACACUUGAUUUUAUCUCUACACAUGUGAUCAAACGAUAAAUGUUAUAGAAAUGGCUAACUGUUACUAAUUUCAUUAACUUGGUUCACAGGAUGAGAGCGUGAAGCAAACGGCUCAGUUAAUGUACCAAACAGCAUUACUGGAGAGUGGUUUCCUGCUCAAUGACCCAAAGGAUUUUGCCUCCCGCAUCUACAGCUCAGUUAAGAGCAGUUUAAAUGUCAGCCCUGAUGCAACAGUUGAGGAAGAAGAGGAUAUUGAGGAACCUGAAGCUGAAACUGAUGACAAAGAAGCUGCUGCCAAAGAUGAUUAUGAUGCCAAGGACGAAUUAUAGAUUAGUCCAGAAGAAUGUCCUUUCUCUAGAGAAAACUACGUAGCAGUCACAUGCUAUAAUCGGAGUGCAUGUGGAUAAUUAGGUUUCAGAUUUUUUAUCCUAGGUUAAUGUUACAAGUUAUCAGGAUUUUGUCUGUUUCAAUUUCACAGAUUUUUGUAUGAGAACGUUGCUGAGUUUUCUGCAACAUAAUGUAAUCUGCGAUCCUCUUUUCCUUUUUACCUCCAGCUGCUAUCCUCAUAGAUGCCCUUGCCAAGUACACCAAUCUCAAGAUGCACCAUCUAAUUUCUAGCCUAGUCCACGGAGGAGCUCUUUGUUGGUUUUAAGCUUUGAAUGCUACCUAAAAUCAAAAGUAUUGCAGGUCUACUGAAAGUUUCAUAUAGCCUGUUUGACCAAGCUUCUUUUGAGGCAAAAUCGUCUUUUCUUUGGUCAAAAGUGUUUUUUUCUAAAAUUAAGUUGUUUGGCCCAGCUUUUGAAAGGAAAAAAAAAAAGCUUUUGAAGAGAAACAGAAGCAGAAAAGUGUAGUUUCUGUCCAAAAGUAAAAAAUACUUUUGAGAAAAAUACACUUAGAAACAAUUUUUUAAAACUUGGCCAAACACUAAUUGCUGCACAGAAGUACUUUUUAAAUUAUUUAGCCAAACACAUUGUUUCUAACUAAAAGUACUUUUGAGAAAAAGUAUUUCUCAAAAUAAAUUGCCGACACCAAGCACCCCGGCAACUCAAGUAACCACAAAAUGAGAUAGAGGGAGCAAUAAAUAAGGGAUCAGGGCUUUUCCCAUUCACAGCUAAUAUCAACCUCAUCCCAAUUAAGGGGAAUAAACACAAUCACAUCAAUAUUUCAGUCUCAUCCCAAAUAAGGGGAAUAAUCACAAUCACAUCAAUAUUUCAGUCUCAUCCCAAAUAAGGGGAGUAAUCAAAAUUCACCCCUACACCGGAACGUGUUUGCAGCUUGGCCAAAUGGGCUAAUAGUGUACUAGUAUGUGUUUUUGAAUCCCAUGUAAUCGUCACUGAAUUUUAUCUCAAAAUGCCCGACCAAAGUUAGGGAGAAAUUCAAAAAUAGCCAGAUUUUCAAGUGGUCAUUCAAAAAUAGUCACAGUUUCAAAAGUAAUCGAAAUUUAGCCACUUUUCAUGUAAAAAUAAAUUUGAAUGAAAAUACUAUUCAAAAUUCGGAAAAUACUCCAGCAUAAUAUACUGGAAUUCCAGCACAAGUAUACUGGACUUCCAGUAUAAUAUACCNNNNNNNNNNNNNNNNNNNNNNNNNUUUGCAAACGCUGACUAUUUUUGAAUGACCAGUCCGAAAACUGGCUACCCGUGCUAUUUUUACCCAAAGUUAAUGUAUGUUUAACCUUAUGCGAUGCAAGAUGAUUCGCAAUAGGGCAAUGCAAUAUCAAGGAGAAAUCUUUUUUUGCAUGAAUAUAGGUUACUAUGAGAUUUUUCAAGUCUGCAAGAGGGGUUAACUUCGGAAAUAGUCAAUCCAGACGUACCUUGUUGUAUAGCACCUUACUCAUUUUGUCCCUAUGAGGGACAAUAAUAGUGAAAAACAUAAAGAAAUUUCAGCAAGAUCAACAAUGAAAUAGGGAAUUUAUUAGUAUAUUCAUAUACACAGUUACAUAUAAAAAAAAUUUAAAUGACUUGAUUGUAUUCUACACUUUAAAUGAAUAAAACGAACUUUUUUUUUACAAAUGUACCGGAUAUGGAAAAGAUGCAUUUUUAUAUAACACUUACUUCUUGACAAGAGAGGGUUGCUGAAUUGGUAAGCACUCUUCAUUAGGGGUGGGUAUAAGCCGGUUCAAUUCGGUUCGGUUUUGAACGUUAUCAGUUAGUAAAUCAGUUAUCAAUUUAUGAAUAUGCUAAACCGAUAAUCGAACUAAUUUAUCGGAUAUCCAUUAAUCGGUUAUCGAUCGUCAACUGUUUGAUUAUCGGUUUACCCGAUAAGACAAAUUAAUGACUGAUGAUUAAUGAGUCUUUUGUACAGGAGCUUCAUGAGCUUAGCAAAAUGAAUCGUAAUUAAUGCCUUAACAGAACCAAAAGUUGUUAGAAUUGUGACACAACAAUAGAUAAACUAGUUUAUCGCUUCUCGUCUAGGUUAUUGCUAUCACUGAGCACUUACAUGAUUGUAAUCUCUCAUUUACGCCAUAGAAAUUUAGAAGAAUAUCUCUUGUAUUGAUCACGUUCUAUUAAUAUUCUAGAUUAUCAGGUCAGAGUUUCGCUACGUGAUUCUAUAUGGGUCAAAAUUCUGACUUUAGAAUAUUUGAGCCAAGAUAGUACUAAGGGAAGGGUUCCCAAGUCAUCGUUUGUUGAAAUGGCCCAAGAAACAGCGAAUCCCGUGGUCGAAAAGUUAAUGAGAACCGUAGUCGAGGUGUCAACAAGGGUCAAGGCCGAGGUCGAGUACCGUUGACAGAGCUGUAACGGCUAGUUUUCAAGAUAGGAUUAAUAUUCUAGUGGAUAUUCUUUGCACUUGUACUAUUAGGGUUUCUUAGGAAUAUGUCCUGUAUAAAUAGAAGAGUUUCUUAGGAAUAUGUCCUAUAUAAAUAGAAAAAGACACAAUGAUAGGGGAUAUGUGAUACUCAUUUGUAAAAAUACACACUUUGACUUGAGAAAGAGAAUCAGAUCUCACUUGCUAAGAUACAAACAUCACCUUUUCACUAAAAUUCUUGUCAAUACUUUUCCACUAGAUAUGAGAAUAACUCAAAUAUUCAAGGGAUUGUCUAUCAUUCAUCAUUGUUAGAAAGAACAUCCCCUUAUUCCAUCCUUUCUUGAGUGAAUUAUUCCUUCUAUUUACUUAAAUGUCAUUUAUUGCUAUUCAUUAUUAUUGAAUGCUAUAUUAUUGCUUCUGAUUUUUAGAACAUUUAUUGUAUAUUACUGUUACUGCCCGACUAGAUCCAGGCAAUAUUUAUCGCUUCUUUAAGAACUCCAUCUAAGGAUAUAAUUAUUAGCUAAUAUUUGAACCAAGAUAUAUAUUUUUUGGUCAAACAAUUUGGAGCUGUAUGUGGGGAUUUCUUUGUUAAAUUUUUAGUUUCCUCUAGAUCUACAACUAAUAUAGGUCACUAACGUCAAAAAACCCAAGAUCUCAUUUUUGUGUGUAUAUACAAUACCGUACAUGGCAGGUAACCAAGGAGAAAGGGAGAGAAUAACAAGUGACUUCCCAACUAACCUCAUGAAUGUCAUCAACUAAAGCUGUGAAACGGCAGGUGAGGACACGAUGCCCAGUGCGUCCCCUAGGCGAGAGGGAUCAUCGCCCCCACACUGCAGCAUAACGAAACCCCGUGGUAAAACUCCUCGAGGCGUGGCUAACCGACACACUAACAAGCGUCCUCAACAAACUCGCUCCAGGCAUGAUUCAGAAACCACAAGGACUUGCACGAUACAACAAACAUACGAGCAGUGCAACCAACCCCUCUCUCCAACGACAGGUACAACUCACAAUGUUAGUGCAGGUGACAAGGCCAUCACUGUCAUUUUAAAAAGGAUGGAAGAAAAAUAGACUGAAAACAAGGCGCUCCGAAACCAAAUGAAAGAAUACCAAGAAUGGGCUGACAAGAUACCGGGCGCUCCUAAGUUGCUGCCGAAAAGGUAUGCCGGUAGGUUCAUCGAGCAGCCAUAUAGUGAUGAUGCAGUCCCGCAUGCCAUACCAAAAACCUUCAGAAUGACGCCCUACCUCAGGAUUUACAACGGCACGACCGGCCCUGAAGAUCAUGUGAGUCACUACGUCACCACCGUGAAAGGUAACGAUCUCGCCAAGGAACAAGUGUACUCCAUUUUGCUGAAGAGGUUUGGCAAAACUCUCACAUGAGGGGCAUUAACAUGGUAUUCGCAGCUACCAGCACGCUCCAUUGAAUCUUUUGAAAAAAUGGUCGACAAGUUCGUAACCGCCCAUGCCAAAGCCAAGAAGGCCGAGGCGAGAGUGAACGACAUAUUUGUUAUUAAUCAGUCCCUGGGAGAGGGACUUCCUCGCCCGGUUCAACAGAGUAAGGAUGACUCUGCCAAACAUAUCCGAAGGGAUGGCGGUCGCAGCUUUUCAGAACGGGUUGAAUCAAGAGGAAAAUUAUUGAGUCGAUUGCUGAAAUAUCCUCCAACCACUUGGGAUGAAAUCCACAAUGCUUAUUCUGCCGAGGUCCGAGCAAAUGAGGACGAUCUCAACGGACAACUCACUGGCUAACCUCAGUACAGGCCGAAUCUAGAAAAGAACGAAGAGACAGUACCAGAAGAGAUCACCCGAUUCCAUGACCUAACAGGGAACGACACCAACCAUAUGUCAGGGCGGCCGCCGCACCCUCCCUUCGUUAUGAAGAAGGCCCGUCCAGACCAAGGACAGGGACCCAUCAGAACGAAAGAGGUAUGCCUCCUUUAUUAUCCGCUCACAAUUUUUGUGUAUCGCCUACAGAAAUAGUCUACGCCCUAGAGAAACUCGGAACAUAAGUGAAGUGGCCGCCAAAGAUGAGAUCAGACCCGAACACCAGAAAGUCUGAUGCCCUCUGUGAGUUCCACCAGGAACGCGGGCACAAAAUAGAAGAUUGCAUCGCCCUCAGAUAGGAAGUCGUAAACAUGUUACGGCAAGGGCACCUCAAAGAACUAUUAAGUGACAAAGGGAGGACCAACUUCACCAGAGGACGUGAACAUCGUGGACCGCCAAAGCCGCCAUCCCCAGCUCGUACCAUCAACGGUGGCGGCGAUGAUGCCUUUGUCAACGGCGUGAAGUUCACCACCACUUACAAACUCAAGCGGUCGAUCACCCGCGAAAGGUAUGACAGACUCGAAGAGAGUAUUAUCUUCGACGAGUUAGAUGCCAAUGGUUUGACUUUCCCUCAUAAUGAUGCCAUUGUUAUUACUUUAUGCAUUUUAUAUACCGAUAUCAAACAUAUCAUGGUGGACGAUGGAAGCGGUGCAUGCAUUAUCCAUCCCCGAGUCCUUACCCAAAUGAAGCUCGAGGAUAAGAUAGUGUCGUGAUGCAUCACACUAACUGGUUUUAAUAAUGCAAUUGAGCGAACAUCCGAGGAAAUUACACUCCCCGUCUUGGCCGGCGGCAUAACUCUAGAGAUAACAUUCCACAUCAUGGACCAAGCCACCGCGUACAAUGCCAUAGUGGGUCGGCCAUAGAUAUAUCCCAUGAGAGUCGUCCCCUCCAGCCUAUACCAAGUGAUUAAAUUCCUAACACCAUGGGGGAUAUUCAACAUACGUGGGUAACAACGCACAUCCCGGGAAUGCUACUGCAUUGCCUUAGACAACAUGACCACCCAACAGAGAAAAGACAAAGAAAAAAAGGCAUAGCAAUCAACAGGGUCGAGGUCGGAGCAAGAUGAGAUAUAUGACAUCAUCAAGAUCCCGACAUGGUCGAAGCCGCAGGAUUGACCAUAGAAGACCUCGACCCCAUUCAAUUGGACGUCAACGAUCAUAGCAAGAAGGCCUAUAUCGGCUGCAAACUUUGGAACCGUGUAAAUUCCGUCAAUUCUUAACAGUUAACGUUUUGUUUGCUUUCAGCCAUGCAGAUAUGUCGGCUAUCCCAAAGGAAAUCGCCAGGCAAAAAUUAAACGUCGACCCAUUCUACCUCUAGUGAGACAUGUCGGGCAUAAAUUCAACCUCGCUAUCAAUGACACAGUCCGCGAGAAGGUGGAAAAAGUGUUAGAAAAUGGUUCUAUCAGGGAGUCGAAGUACCCCGAGUGGGUCGCCAACGCAGUGAUGGUCAAAAGAAAAAUGGGAAAUGGCGAAUGUGCGUGGGUUUCACAGAUUUGAACAAAGCAUGUCCGAAGGAUUCAUUCCCAUUACCUUAUAUCAACCAACUCAUCGAUGCAACGGCCGGCAUGAGCUACUAAGUUUCUUGGACGCUUAUUCAGGAUAUAAUCAGAUCCUCAUUGAAAAAGAAGAUCAGGAAAAGACCAUGUUCAUCAUGCACCAAGGAACGUAUUGCUACAGGGUCAUGCCAUUUAGACUAAAAAACACAGAGGCUACUUAUCAAAGGUUGGUAACAAAGAUGUUCAAAGACCAGCUCGGAAAAACAAUAAAGGUAUAUAUAGACGACAUGUUGGUCAAGUCCAAAAGGGUAGAAGAUCACAUCGAUCAUUUGAAAGAAACUUUUGACAUACUCAAACGGUAUGGAAUGAAGCUGAACUCGGAGAAAUGCGCGUUCGGUGUAGCCUCAAGAAAGUUCUUGGGUUUUCUGGUAUCGCAUAGAGGGAUUGAGAUCAACCUAGACCAAAUCAAAGCCAUUGAAGGGAUACCAGAACUCUUGACCACAAAAAAUAAGUCCAAAGGUUGAUUGGUUGUAUCGCCGCCCUAUCAAGGUUCAUCUCCCGGUUGUCGGAUAGGUGCCAUAAAUUCUUUGGCAUACUCAAGAAAGACAACGGCCUCGAAUGGACUUCCGAGUGUGUCCAGGCUCUGCGAGAACUAAAGGCAUACCUGUCAUUACCACUAUUGCUUUUGAAACCUGAACCUGGAGAGCAGCUCGUCAUCUAUCUAGAUGUAUCUGAGGUAGUAGUAAGCGCAGUCUUAAUCCACAAAAACAAAGGUACACAAUCUCCCAUCUAUUACAUUAGCAAAAUAAUCGUCGACGCCGAGACGAGGUACCUACGCCUUAAAAAAUUGGCUAUGGCCUUGGUCGUAACUUCACGAAAGCUUAGACCAUAUUUCCAAUGUCACCCCAUCUCGGUCAUCACAACUUCCCCCCAUGAGGAGCAUUUUGCAUAAACACAAGCUAUCGGGAAGGCUAGCCAAAUGGGCUAUCGAGCUAAGUAAGCACGAUAUCAUAUACCAGCCGCGAACGACGAUAAAGUCACAAGUGCUCGCUGACUUCGUCGCCGACUUCAGCGCAAAAAUAAUGCCUGAAGUUGUCCAAACUUCCCUCCAAACACAAUACCUCUAGGUCCUAUACACCGACGGUGUAUCCAACACGUCAGGGUCCAGAUUGGGACUCAUACUCGAGGUCCCAACAUGCGAAGUGAUUUGCCAGUUCAUAAGGUGCCCGGAUAUGACUAACAAUGAUGCCGAGUAUGAGGCCAUAAUCCCAGGUUUAAGGCUAGCACUCAAAUAUGGAGCGAAACGGUUGAAACUGCGUUGUGAUUCCCAGCUCUUAGUCAACCAAGUCACAUGGACUUUCCAAAUCAAGGAACAAAGAUCGCAACAAUACCAGACCAAAAUCUGCAAGCUACUACCUGAGUUCAACGAAUGUCAGCUCGAUCAAAUCCCACGAGCACAGAAUGCCAAGGCAGAUUGCCUCGCCAAAUUAGCCGCAGCUUCCAAAAAAAUCAUGACCGGAGAUAAAAGCGUAGUUCACCUCCUCAACUCAUCACUGAACCAAGUCGAGGUAAGAACCAUAAACUUAACUUGGGAUUUGCGCAAUUGUGUUGUCGCAUACUUGCAGGAUGGCACACUCUCUGUCGACAAAAAAGAGGCCAAGAAACUAAGAAUGCAAGUGGCCAGAUACAGUAUCCUCUACAACGAUCUGUACAAAAGGACCUACGGCGGCCCUCUGGCGAAGUGCUUGGGCCCCAACCAAACUCAGUGCGUCCUCGAAGAAGUCCACGAAGGCCAUUGUUGGGCUCACUUCGGUAAUCGGGCAUUGGUCAGAUGCCUCAUACGGGCAGGAUAUUAUUGGCCCACAAUGAAAAAGAUGUCAUAGACUUCAUGAGGAGAUACGAGCAGUGCCAAAAGUAUGCCCUAAUGAUUCACCAGGCAGGCGAACAUCUCCACUCAGUCACCUCCCAUUAGCCGUUCAUCAAAUGAGGAAUGGACAUCGUGACCCCCCCUCCAAGUAGGGCAAGGUAAUGUAAGAUUCCUUUUGGUUUUAACUGACUAUUUCUCUAAGUGGGUGGAAGCAGGAGCAUUCGCCCAAAUACGGGAACAUGAGGUAAUCACCUUUAUAUGGAGAAAAAUCAUCUGCCGGUUUGGCCUUCCUAAAGAAAUCAGCUGUGACAAUGGACCAGUUCACUGGAAAGAAAAUUGUCGAAUUCUUCGAGAAAUGACAUAUCAAGAGGAUACUCUCGACCCCAUAUCACCCCACGAUUAACGGGCAAGUAGAGUCCUCCAAUAAGUCAAUACUAAACAUCAUGAAGAAGAAGCUCGAAGACGCUAAGGGACUGUGGUCGGAAAUACUACCAGAAGUAUUAUGGGCCUACCGAACAACUCCAAAAACAAGCACAAGAGAGACGCCAUACUCUCUGGUCUACGGGACCGAGGUAGUAAUACUAGUCGAGGUCGGAGAACCCAACCUAAGGUACUCCCAGGAGAGUGGCAUGAGUAACAACGGGAGUAGAAGGCAGGAACUCGGGGAAGUCGACGAACGAAGAGAUAUGGCCUACAUAAGAAUGGUCGCCCAACAACAACAAGCAGAACGCUAUUACAAUAAGAAAGCAAAGGUUAGGCCACUCAAAGUCGGGGACUACUUACUAAAAUCUAAAACUCAAGUGAGCAAAGAUCCUAGGGAGGGCAAGCUGGGAACAAAUUGGGAUGGUCCGUAUAAAAUCACAGCCGAAGCAAACAAGGGUUUAUUCCAAUCAGAGACAAUGGAAGGAAAGCUACUACCAAACAAUUGGAAUAUCAGCCACCUCAAAUACUUCAACUUCUAAGAGAAAAAACGUCCCCCAAGUCGUACUUUUUUUCCCCUCACUUGAGUUUUGUCUAAUUUGGGUUUUCUCAAUGAGGUUUUUAACGAGGCUACGAAGGGAACGCUUCGAGUCGAAGUAUGCGAAAGUAACGUCGUGGUUACUAUUUCAUUGCUCUACCUCUCAAUACUCUCCAGAUCGACCAAUGAAGGGACUAGAUAGACUGGGACUGGGACUGGAACGUCAGCCAACACCCAAAAUUUGUAAAUUUCUCCAAGUAUGUAACCAAAGAAACAAUGUCAAAUCAAUAAACUUUACACUUACCAGCAUACCUUUUUCACAUUAAUGUUAUGUUCGAUUACGAUCGAACAAACAACCACCGUUCUUCGGCCGCAAUUUAAUAAAAGGUUAUGUUCGACCCCGCUCGAACAAACAUCUACCGGCCCUCGAUUACAAUUUAAUGAAAGGUUAUGUUCGACUCCGCUCGAACAAAUACCUACCGACCCUCGACUGCGAUAUAACGAAAGGUUAUGUUCGACCUCCUUCGAACAAACACCUAUCGGCCAUCAACCAUAUCCCAACAAAUAAACAAAAAUAUACACAAGUAUAGAAAAUAAACCACAUGAAAGGAAGAAAAUGCAAGGAACAACUUUGAUAUUUCACAUACUUAAAAUUGUUUACAAUAGGCUCUUGAAGACGAUGCCAAAAAAUAUACAAAAAAAAACAAAAGAGAAGACUCCUGGCCACCACCAUCACGACCUUCAACAUCCUCGCCGACUUCUCCUUCAACAACGUCGCCACCCUGACAAUUAAUACCCUCGCUAUCGCCUCCUUCGCCCUCAGGAUAUGCAGCGUCAUACCAGGCAUUCUCCUCGAGCCGGUCUAUACCCUUAUCCACCUCGUCCUCACCAACCUCAGGCAUAACGGGAUCCUACCCAUAAGUGACUUGAGCUCCAUGAGAUUUAACACGAACAUCUUGGAGGGCAGCCUCAGAAACGGAUCCUGCUGCAUGUAAAUCUCAAAAGACAUCUAACUAGGCCUCGGCAUGAAUCCACUCCUCAUAACUCUCCCGAGGAACAUUAGGAAAAUCUGAAGUACAAGAAGAGGACGGUUGCGCCAGUAAUCGGGCCUUCUCGGCCUCAAGAGCAAUAACUCGAUCGUAGAGGCCAGAAGUCUCUUUCUCCAACUCUCAAAUCCUCUCAUCAAGCCGCUGUUCUUUAAGCUUUGCCGUUUCUUAGCCAUUUUCUUGCUCAAAACAGAGAGUCUAGAUCACCACCUCAAGAGACUCUGCCUUCCUCAAAGCCUCCGACCGAGUGGAGUCUGCCUUCUCUAAAUGCUCUGCCUUCUCGGCGACCUCGCCACUUAGAGCCUCCGCCCUGAAUUGACACUCCUCAAGAUGGGCACGCAGCACAACCACCUGAGCUUAGAGAUCGCUGUACUGGGCUUCGACCCCCUUGUUGAGCUCAAGCUCUUCCUUUUUUCUCCUCAACAUCCCCUCCAGGACGCUGCACUUCCCCACCAUCCACACCAGCUCCUCAUCCCUGGCCUUCAAGUCCCACCUCAGUCGACGCACAUUGCCGCCCCCACUAAGCUGACACCGAAGCUCCCGGUACUUCUCAAGGACUCUGAAGUACUAGUCCUUCAACUUUACAUAGAUAUCUUUACGCCUCUACUCCCUACGAGCACUCUCAAUUUCUAAGACGACCGUCUGCAAAAUGAACAAAAGCAGUUAGAGACUGUGAAAGAACAAAACCAAAGGAAAAACAACUAACAUCGAAUAUACUUACCCGAAGGGCGAGGCCGGCAAUGUUAUUUGACAGGUCAUUGUCAUUCAUAUCCUUGAGGGUCGUACCCUCAACUUCAGAACUGAGAGGGACAAAGGAAAGGAUAAUCUACUUGGUAUUCACGAGAAGAUUACGGUCCAUCGAGAUCGUAGUAGUCCUCGAACCCCCCUCCAACCUCACUUCAAUCUGCGUAAGCCCCUCGUCGAUCAUCCUCAGCUUAUCUGCAUCCAUGUAUGAAUCAGAUCCAACAUCCUCAUCAUCAACAACCUUACUUCUAUCAUCAGUCGAAGGAGGUACGUCUGACGAGCGCAAAAUAUAACACAAAAUUGAUGGUCGUUAAUCAAAGAUAGUAUAGUAUAAUAUCGUCUUCAUAGGGAUUGAAUUUAAAUAAUAUUUAAGUAAAUUAUGGUUUAAUUGUUAUUCAGGAGGAUCAACACUUGAGUUAAAUGAUUAUAAACUAAGUUUAACUACUAAAAUAAAGUAAUUAACAAUAAAGAAUUGGGAGAUUCGUAGAGUUGGGUUCUUAUAAAUAUGAGGAAUAAAAGUUUUGACAUGAUAUGUGCAAGAUAACUAUUUGGGAUUUAACUCUAGUUUAAUUCACUCUAAUAUUUUAAUGAUUCUCACGAAUUCACUCGAUUAUUUGUUCGAACGUGUAGUGAAGACUCCUCUCUCGAUUAAAUCUUAACUCUACGAGGUGAACUAAUAUAAGCAUUGUGAAGUAUGCAAGCUAGCAUUAAUGGGUUGGUCCUUAGGAAAACGUCUCUCGUAUAUUCUCCUAACUUGAUUCAAUCAACAAUUCAACAAGCUCUUUCGAUUACUUAAGAGAAUCAAUGAAUUAAAUCAAACAAAAUAAUGCAAAGAUAAUCACCAAGAUAUUCCUCUUUCGAUUAAAUAAACUGAUGAAUAAAGUUGCAACAAUUAAAAACUCCAUAAACGAAUUCAAGCAUGAACUAGAGUUAAAAUCCACAAAUAUUUAUCAAAACUUCAUAUCCGUCAAAUCCUAAGGUAAACUACUCCAUAAUCAUGGAGGAAAUUAUCACAAUUAUAAUUAAAGAAUAAGAAAGCAUCAAUCUAACUUUACAAUCCAGACUCCCGUAUUGAAUUGAUGAAAAUAUGAUGAAAUCCCGUGUCUUGUAGCCUCCAAUGCUCUCCCAAAGGUUCAGAGGUCAAAAGUCCCUUUAAAAAUAUCUUUUUGGUGUAUUUAUACCCGGUGAAAUUACCUUUUCCAAGUCAAAACAGGACAAAUACUCUGAGAAAAUUACAUAGGUGUGUCGCGCGUUGCGCCAUCCCAUGCGGGGCGCUAGUGGGGAAAUUAAGAGAGCAAGUUCUUACGGGCAGUAGGAAAAUUACACUACAACGCGGCUCCAUGCACCGCCUCAUGUGGCACGACAGUGGAGGUUUUACAUAGUUACAAUUUUUCUUCGCGUUUUGACAUCCAGGCUCGGCUCCCGACCACCGAAUGCGAUCCCCGUUUAAUCCCUUGGCUUUUACUAGGACUUCAAAGCCCCAACUUGCUCAAUUUAGCUCCCGAUUAUUUUUUUAAACUCGAAAUCACUUCCUAACAAGGCAUAAAACAUAUAAUAUAAGUGUAAUACACUAAUAUUCAAGCUCAAACACAAGUAAAAUACAGUAAUUAGAGUGCAAACUAUGACUAAAAUGCACGAUUCUAGCUUACCAUCAACGUCUGCCGCAACAACGGAAGACGAGGCCUCUUUGUGUCUUGGAAGAACAGGGUUGUCACGACCCAUCACACCUUCGACCGCAACCCCCUCAGGUUGUACAUCCGUAUCCUCCAAGAAAAUGGUCUUGGGACUAGCCUCUGGGCUCUCCCUGAUAUGCAAUGUGGUCGUCUCCAGAAGGACAAAGCCUCAGUCUCCCACAUCGGUGGCCGUCGACCUCUCCCCAUGACAUCCACGACCCUCCUCUUACAAGGCAUCAAAUCCCCAUCACCAAGCAAAGGCUCUUCGUCCUCAUCGAUAAGACGUUACAAGGGAGGAGUCGAGGUUUCUGCGGCCUAAGUCUCCACGACUGAAGAAGGGAUAGAUUCAGAUACAGCCACUAGAGGGACCAGGGCAUGAAUAGAAGCAACCGCAAUCGAAGAAGGGACCAGGGCACGAACAGAAGCAGUCGCACUCAAAGAAGGGGCGGGAGCCGAAGGCGUAGUAGCUUUCCUCUUUUGGAACGAGGGUGCGGGAGCUUUCGACCUCUUCGAAGAUCCCAUGACCGAAGCUAGGAAAAACAUAGGGAAGAGGAAAGAUCAGCAAAGGUAAACAAAAAGACAAAAAGAACUAAGACACGAGUGAUAAAAGGAACUUACCAGUCGAAGGGAGAGCAGGCCCAAACUUCUUAAAGAAACCUGACCACUCAUGGAUCCAUACGACGUGAGGGAGGAGCCGAUCAACCCAGUCAGAAAUGUCUUCGACCAAAGGAGGAGGCGAAGUUUCGGCUGCACAAGAAAAUGACAAGAGGUCAAAGCCCACGACCAAGCACGGGAGAAAAAUCAAAUACCUACAAACAAGGAAAUUAGUUACUUACGAGCAUGAUUCCAAGCUUCAGGAAAACCAUCGACACUGGCCACCACGUCCUCUAUUCUGACGAAGAAGAAGUUGAACCAAAAUUGGUGGUUGUCUUUGUCGUCCAUUUUCACCACCAAGAACUUGCCUCCUCGGUGGAGAAGAUUCAAGUGCCGAAGCAUCAGUUCGACCUCGGCUAGCUCGAAAAAUUUGGUGUGUAUCCUUAUAAGCUUAUAAAGGUACGAUGCGAGCUGAGCUGGGCAAACGCCGUAAUAAUGACACAAUUCCUCCACCGGCUGAAGGAGAGGGAGAGUGUAGCCGACUUGGAAGGGGUAGCGUAGAAGGCACAAUACCCAGGACGGUGGACCUGCACAGUAUCCCACCCAGCCGGGAUUAAUUCGAUGUGAUUGGGAAGGACUUAGCCUUAAGCUCUCCCAAUUCCUUCACCGUCAUCACUGACCGAAAGGCUUCAUGGUCAGUAUCAGGUAAUUUGGAGAAAUCAGAUAUAGUAUCAAGGUUGUGAGGAAUUACUCCUUCACCAACGGGAAGCUUCCAUCCUCAAUAACGGCAAGAACAUUCUCCUCGUGAGGGGGAAACACCAUCGCCAAAGGGAUCACAUCACUUCCCUCACUAGACUUAGAAUCCAUGUUAGACAUGUUUUGAUAAAAGAAAGAAAGGUAUCAAACGAUGAAGAACUGGGAACAAUGCAAAUCACUGGAACAGAGAGGAGAGGUUUAAAGCAAAAAAAAAGCAAGAGAGUAACAUAGGGUUUCGAAACAACAGAAAACUUAAAACUUCAAAAUCACACCAAAAUACCUCAGGAUCUUGCCACCAAGACCGAAAAUGGUUCAUCAUUACUGGGCACCGAAACCGAAGCGACAAGUUCAAUCAAAGGACACAUGCGAAACGAAGCAACACAUCGGGAAUAUGCGUCAAAAUGACGCAUAACGUCAUGACGUCAUCCUAACUCGUGGACAUCAUAGCUCCAACAAAUCGCCUGGGAAAAUCGAAGCGUUUGAAAUGAGCAGCCCACGUAGGGCCACGUUGCCAGUUUGCUGUAACCACCAUGACCUGCACAGCUCGCUCGAUUAUUUUAACCACAACGAACAAGAUUCGCUCAUCGAACCCGCCUGAAGCCGGCCUCAAUAAGCUGAGGGACUAACUGUAUGGGUCAAAAUCUGACUUUAGAAUAUUUGAGCCAAAAAUAGUACUAAGGGAAGAGUUCCCAAGUCGUCGUUUGUCGAAAUGGCCUAAGGAGCAGCGAAGUCUGUGGUCGAAGAGUCAACGAGAGCCAUAGUCGAGGUGUCAACAAGGGUCGAGGCCGAGGUCGAGUACCGUUGACAGAGUUGUAACAGCUAGUUUUUAAGAUAGGAUAUUAAAGAGAAUAUUCUAGUGGAUAUUCUAUGCACUUGUACUAUUAGGGUUUCUUAGGAAUAUAUCCCAUAUAAAUAGAAAAAGAGACAAUGAUAGGGGACAUGUGAUACUCAUUUGUAAAAAUACACACUUUGACUUGAGAAAGAGUAUCAGAUCUCACUUGCUAAGAUACAAAUAUCACAUUUUCACUAAGAUUCUUGUCUAUACUUUUCCACUAGAUCCGAGAAUAACUCAAAUAUUCAAGGGAUUGUCUAUCAUUCAUCAUUGUGAGAAAGAACAUCCACUUAUUCCAUCCUUUCUUGGGUGAAUCAUUCAUUCUAUUUACUUAAAUACCAUUUAUUGCUAUUCAUUAUUAUUGAAUGCUAUAUUAUUGCUUCUGAUUUCUAGAACGCUUAUUGUAUCCAACCAGAUCCACGCAAUAUUUAUCGCUUCUUUAAGAACUCCAUAUUUGGAUAUUAUUGUUAGCUAAGAUUAAUNNNNNNNNNNNNNNNNNNNNNNNUUUAAGUUAUAUAAUAUUGACUGUAUAGGUAUUUCUUUUAUUAGUAUAAUUUAACUUAUUAUAGCAUGUUAGUUAUCAUGUUUAUCGAGUUAUCAAUUAAUGUUUGUAACAAACAUUUGAUAAUUGUUUUGUAAGUCAUUCUUUAAAUAGUUUUAGACAAUUAUGCAUGGAACUUCAUUCUAGUUAAAAAUAUUUUCACAAGGAAUGCUCGAAGGUUAAAACUAUUGACUUGACUUCGCUGCAUAAUGUAUGGUCACCACUCACCUUACAUCUUUUGUACUUACCAAUGAAAGAAGAACACGUGGUUCUCAGACGUAGCUGCUACGAUAAGUAAUUCCCUGUAAUUCUAUUCCAUGAACCUCAACGCAGAAGAUAGAAACCAGGUCUUCGUUCGCGUCGACUUGUAGAACAAAAGUUUUCUCCACGUCUGAAGAGGCGACAGGAACCAAUAAAAUCACGCCACGUAUAGAAUCACACAUCUUAACCGUUGGAUCGUCCACGCUGGCAAAAAGGAGAUCAAUUAGGAAAAUGAAUCUCCUAGGUGACACAUACGGCGACGAGCUCACUAUAUAUAGUCGCUCAAUGGAAAUGGCGCAACUUAAAGAAGCAAAAUUUCAAAAGCCGCUGAGGUCUGAGAGUGAAAUCCAAUACAAAUGAGGAAGUGGACGAUCCCUUCCGUUCUGUUUCUGUUAUGUCUUCUUUUCCUUCUUCCAGAUCAAGGUAAACUAGGGUAUUAUGUUCAGCUUCCUGUAAAUUUUGAGAUCUCAUGGAAUUUUCUUGUUAUAUGUAUGUAAGACUGCAAUGUUAUUUUUGAAAUAGUUGAAUUAGAUGAUAAACUAAUACUGUGUAUCGAGCAUUGGGCAGUAAAUUUGCCUUAUUAGUCUUGGAGUUUAUGAGGCUUUUUUAGUCCGGUGUUGCGUUGAGACAUUGCUUCCAUAAUUAUUUAAGGAAUUACUUAGUUGAUUGAUUGAUUGAAUUGCUUAGUGGAGUACGGACAUUACUGCUUUAUUCUGAAGCAUGAUUUUUCCACUCACUAGGUCGGAGGAUACAAGCAAAUGCGGAAGCUGAAUCUGACGCCCCUGUAGAUCCGCCAAAGGUUGAGGAAAAGCUUGGUGCUGUUCCACAUGGUUUAUCCACUGAUUCUGAUGUCGUUAAAAGGUUUCCGAAUCGUUGAUUCAUUUAGUUUGUUUCGCUCUGAUUCAUUGCCUUCAGCUUCUUUGUAUGUUCAUUGCUCUGAGUACUAUAUCAUUAUAGGGAAUCGGAGUCUAUGUCAAGGAAAACUCUCCGAGCUGAUGCAGAGAAAUUUGAGUUCCAAGCUGAGGUCUCUCGGCUUAUGGACAUCAUUAUCAACUCCCUUUACAGUAACAAGGACAUCUUCUUGAGGGAGCUGAUCUCGAAUGCAUCCGAUGUAAGCAUACUUUUAAGUCUCUGGGGAUGUUCGACAUUAUCUGCAAAUGAUUUCUUCUAAGUUAAUAUGCUGUUAAAUUCAGGCGCUGGACAAGAUUAGGUUCCUGUCACUUACUGACAAGGAAGUACUUGGGGAAGGUGAUAACACUGAGCUUGAGAUCCAGGUUGGUGAUUUGUGUCCGUUGUUUGUGUAUACUCUGUUGGUUGCUAGUACAGGAAGUUGCUCUUUUAAAAGCUGUUCUGAUGAUUGUAUUGUUUAUUGCAGAUUAAACUGGAUAAAGAAAAGAAAAUUCUUUCCAUUCGUGACAGAGGUAUAGGAAUGACUAAGGAGGAUUUAAUAAAGAACUUGGGAACUAUAGCUAAAUCUGGAACUUCAGGUAAUCUAUCUGGUGGAUAUGAGAUUUGUGGUGUUCUUGGAGUUCUCUUUACUGUUCACUAAUUUGUUAUUGCUCAACAGCCUUUGUUGAGAAGAUGCAGACAAGUGGAGACCUUAAUCUGAUUGGACAAUUUGGUGUUGGGUUUUACUCGGUCUAUCUUGUAGCUGACUAUGUUGAGGUCAUCAGCAAGCAUAACGAUGACAAACAGUAUGUUCUUGUUUGAAUGUGUUGAUUAAUGACAAUUCAUGUAAUGGGAAUGUUGUUAGUGAUUUAACAAAUUUCUGCAUUCAGAUAUGUCUGGGAGUCGAAGGCUGAUGGGGCAUUUGCCAUUUCUGAGGAUGUAUGGAAUGAACCUCUUGGUCGUGGAACCGAAAUUAGAUUGCACCUCAGAGAUGAAGCAGGAGAAUAUUUGGACGAGUACAAACUGAAGGUGUGUCUGAUAGAUACUUCCCAAGGAGACUCUUUUCAUAUAUCAUGAAUUGGUGCAUGCCAACACUUUAAUAUUUCACCAGUCAUUUAGAGUAAUUUUUAUUUUUCAUUCUAAUAUUGAUUUUGGCAUAGUAGGUAAUAAUAUAUUAUAAUGCUGAAAUAAAUGGAAAUAAACAAUCUUAACCUUUUGUGCCUUGGUAUUGAUUUAUCAAUUCCUUUUUGUCCCACAUUAUCCAUUAGACCUUUGUAUAAGGUAAAUAGUUUUAUUAACAUUUGGGGGAACCCCUUGUACAAGCUGUAUACCAAAAAAAGAGAACCUACACCAAAAUAUGGUUCUCAACAAACGAGAUCCAAUCUUAUAUACAAUUAGGGACCUCAUGAGCACACCUAAAAGAAACUAGAAACAAAAGACUACUUUGCAAUUUUAUAAACUCUUGUUCCACUCCUUCAAAUGCCUUUCUAUUUCUCUCUUUCCAAAUAACCCACAUGAUUGCUAAGGGGGCAACACUCCAUGUCCUUAGACUUUCUUCCCACUUCUAUGAGCCCAACUAUGCAGCACUUCCUUCACUGAACCCGCACAUCAUCCGCUAGAUUAUAUUCUAUUGCAGACUAGAAGUAAAUACUUUCCAAAAUUGAGGAACAUAACGAAGACCAGGGCAGUAAAAGGGCUGCAAACGUUUGUGACCCAUUGAUUUGAAGCUAGUUCUAGGUUGUUUUCUUAUAUGAAUUUUUCUGCUCCCCCUUAGGAUUAUUUUAUUAUUUGGACCUUUGAUUGAAAGGGUGCAGUCUAACAGAAGAAACAACAGGACCAAUUACUUGAUAUUCCAUAAGUCUUGUAUUACAGUGGUUGAGAAUGAGAUGAUUAAGCUUAUGGAUGAAUUGCUAACUAAAAGUAAAAGUCUGUGAUAUUUGGGCUGUUUCUGUUUUAGCAUAUUCAAUCUUGUGCUUGUGUGUCUGUGUGGAGGUACCGUAAAUUUUUGUAGUUAGAAAAAAAAGCCCAACCUGUUGUUCUGUUGACUAAGUUUUUGGAUUCUUACAUUUUGGUACUUGUCAUCAGCAUCUAUCCUGAAUAUUCUCUACUCCAAAUUUGAUUAUUUUCCAGUUCAAGUUACCAGAUUAAAUUGAAAAUAAGAGUUUCUAUGGACAUACUUUCUGUUUCUAAAAUAAUAUUAUGUUUCUGAAGCUUCUGUUGAGGUUCUCUACAUUGCUUAAUGCAUGGGUUACCUUGUAUUCAGGACCUGGUGAAGAAAUACUCUGAAUUCAUCAACUUCCCUAUAAAUCUUUGGGCAAGCAAAGAGGUUGAGAAGGAGGUUCCUGUCGAUGGAGACGAGUCAAGUGAUGAAGAGGAAACAUGUAUGCGUGAUUCAUCCUACUUGGCUUGCCAAGUUUAUUCAGUGUUAACGAAGUCGGAACUUGUAGUGAAUGUGUUUAAUGCAUAUUUUAAGACCUGUUCCCUGCUCGGAGAAAUUGUUUGAGGUUUUGGGGGUGUGGGGGGUGUGGUAGGUUGCUAGAUGAAUUAAAGUUUACCCCCUCAUCUUUUAAUCUUAUGCGACCUCAUAGUCUUUCAAUGUUGUGAACAGCUGAAACCAGCCCUUCUGAAGAAGAAGGAGAUGAAGAUGAUUCUGAGAAGCCAGAAGAUGAGAAAAAGCCUAAAACUAAGAAAGUGAAGGAAACCACUUAUGAGUGGGAGCUUUUGAAUGAUGUGAAAGCUAUAUGGCUUCGGAAUCCAAAGGAGGUGACAGAGGAAGAGUAUACGAAAUUCUAUCACUCACUUGCAAAGGUAAAUUGCUACUUACAUACUUUCUUCCACUUGAAAUGCAGUGAGAAGAGUAGAAAACUUUUGUGAACUCUCUUAUCAUUUGCUAAAUUCUUGUAUUAUUUUGCCAGGACUUCAGUGAUGAGAAGCCCUUUGCUUGGAGUCACUUUAAUGCUGAAGGUGAUGUUGAGUUCAAGGCUGUACUGUUUGUCCCUCCUAAGGCUCCUCAAGAUUUAUAUGAAAGCUACUACAACUCCAAGAAAUCCAACUUGAAGUUAUAUGUCAGACGGGUCUUUAUCUCUGAUGAAUUUGACGAAUUGCUGCCCAAGUACUUGAGUUUCCUAAUGGUAGUUCUUGUUACUCUAGAACUUCACUGUUUAUAUUACGUAUGGGCCAAGAGUUUCUAACGCCAUUUUGUUUGACAUUAUGCUAGGGUCUUGUUGAUUCUGACACCUUACCCCUCAAUGUCUCAAGAGAAAUGCUUCAGCAGCACAGCAGCUUGAAGACAAUUAAGAAGAAACUCAUCCGCAAGGCCCUUGACAUGAUACGCAAGAUUGCUGAUGAGGAUCCUGAUGAAUCUAACGACAAGGAUAAGAAAGGUUAGUUUAUAUCUCUGAACAAUCCAUUGCCUAAGAGAUUGAAUUUCUCAUUUCCUCUUUUCUGAGUUUCUCAUGACGUUACAGAUGUUGAAGAAUCCAGUGCAGACAACGAGAAGAAAGGUCAAUACACAAAGUUUUGGAAUGAAUUUGGAAAGUCAGUAAAACUUGGUAUCAUAGAAGAUGCAACUAACAGAAAUCGCUUGGCUAAGCUCCUCCGAUUUGAGACGUAUGCCCUGUGUCUUAAGAGUAAUUCUUUGAUGAGAUUGUUAAGUCAAAUCAGGGUGACUGAUCCCUUGUCGUCUUAAUAUUUUCUCGUUUACAGCUCAAAAUCAGAUGGUAAACUAACUUCCCUAGAUCAGUACAUCUCAAGGAUGAAGGCUGGACAGAAGGAUAUCUUCUAUAUAACUGGAGCUAGCAAAGAGCAGUUGGAGAAAUCACCAUUCCUUGAGAGGCUAACUAAGAAAAAUUAUGAGGUAUGAGUCUUUCUUAAGAUUGCAUGGGAAAGCUGCAUAACAAAAUAGUAGUUUAUUUUAACAGAAAGUAUUAGUCAUCUUUUCUUGCAUUGUGAGUUUGACUAUGUUCCUUGUCUUUGAUAUUUAAAUUCUCUUAUAAAUGCAUUUAUCAUGUCUGCUCUAAAGAUUCAUUUGCUAAGUUUCCCUUGUUUAGGUAAUUUUCUUCACGGAUCCCGUAGAUGAAUACCUGAUGCAGUACCUUAUGGACUAUGAAGACAAUAAGUUCCAAAAUGUAUCCAAAGAGGGCCUGAAACUGGGCAAGGAUUCAAAAGCCAAAGAGCUCAAGGAGUCAUUUAAGG